ACGGGCGCAAGGGGUGUGGGGGGACCUUGCUGGAGUGCUGGGCUUUGUGGGGCCUGCCUUUGUGGGGUGACCGCAAACCCCUCCGUGUGGUCCUGACCCCCAGCAGAGGGGAUGAAGGCAGAGCCCUUAGGGCAGCACGGGCAGGGGUGGGCGGCCCACGGGUGGUCCCAGCAGCUGGGUCCUGUCCCAGGAACCCAAUUCCCACACACUGCAUGGGGGGCGGCUGAGGGAGGACUUCCAGCGGUGACGGGAAACCUUGGAAACGGCCCAAACACCAGCUGGCCUUUGGGCCUUCUGCCAAGGGCACGCGGGAAGAGGGUCAGGCCCCACGCUGCAGCCACCUGCAUCACGAGCUCACGGGCACAGUGAUGGCUGCC
ensembl:lncRNA